rnacentral:rRNA from 1 species
UACGAAGGGGGCUAGCGUUGCUCGGAAUCACUGGGCGUAAAGGGUGCGUAGGCGGGUUUCUAAGUCAGAGGUGAAAUCCUGGAGCUCAACUCCAGAACUGCCUUUGAUACUGGAAGUCUUGAGUAUGGGAGAGGUGAGUGGAACUGCGAGUGUAGAGGUGAAAUUCGUAGAUAUUCGCAAGAACACCAGUGGCGAAGGCGGCUCACUGGCCCAUAACUGACGCUGAGGCACGAAAGCGUGGGGAGCAAACAGG